rnacentral:rRNA from 1 species
UAGUCCACACCGUAAACGAUGAAUGCCAGUCGUCGGGUAGUAUACUAUUCGGUGACACACCUAACGGAUUAAGCAUUCCGCCUGGGGAGUACGGUCGCAAGAUUAAAAACUCAAAGGGAAUUGACGGGGGCCCGCACAAGCGGUGGAGCAUGUGGUUAAUUCGAAGCAACGCGAAGAACCUUACCAGCUCUUGACAUACCAAUCGCGGAAUCUAGAGAUAGAUUCCUUCAGCUCGGCUGGAUUGGAUACAGGUGCUGCAUGGCUGUCGUCAGCUCGUGUCGUGAGAUGUUCGGUUAAGUCCGGCAACGAGCGCAAACCCACGUCCUUAGUUACCAGCAUUUAGUUGGGUACCCUAGGGAGACCGCCGGUGACUAAGCCGGAGGAAGGUGUGGACGACGUCAAAUCAUCACGGCCCUACGUCCUGGCUACACACGUGCUACAAUGGCCGGUACAGAGAGCAGCCACUACGCGAGUAGGAGCGAAUCUACAAAACCGGUCUCAGUUCGGAUCACG